GUGGGGAAUAUUGGACAAUGGGCGAAAGCCUGAUCCAGCCAUGCCGCGUGUGUGAAGAAGGUCUUCGGAUUGUAAAGCACUUUAAGUUGGGAGGAAGGGCAGUAAGUUAAUACCUUGCUGUUUUGACGUUACCGACAGAAUAAGCACCGGCUAACUUCGUGCCAGCAGCCGCGGUAAUACGAAGGGUGCAAGCGUUAAUCGGAAUUACUGUGCGUACAGCGCGCGUAGGUGGUUUUGUAAGUUGGAGGUGAAAUCCCCGGGCUCAACCUGGGAACUGCCUCCAAAACUGCAUGACUAGAGUACGGUAGAGGGUAGUGGAAUUUCCUGUGUAGCGGUGAAAUGCGUAGAUAUAGGAAGGAACACCAGUGGCGAAGGCGACUACCUGGACUGAUACUGACACUGAGGUGCGAAAGCGUGGGGAGCAAACAGGAUUAGAAACCCUUGUAGUCC
rnacentral:rRNA from 1 species